rnacentral:rRNA from 1 species
GAUGAACGCUGGCGGCGUGCCUAAUACAUGCAAGUCGAGCGAACAGACGAGGAGCUUGCUCCUCUGACGUUAGCGGCGGACGGGUGAGUAACACGUGGAUAACCUACCUAUAAGACUGGGAUAACUUCGGGAAACCGGAGCUAAUACCGGAUAACAUGUUGAACCGCAUGGUUCAACAGUGAAAGACGGUCUUGCUGUCACUUAUAGAUGGAUCCGCGCCGCAUUAGCUAGUUGGUAAGGUAACGGCUUACAAAGGCAACGAUGCGUAGCCGACCUGAGAGGGGGAUCGGCCACACUGGAACUGAGCCACGGUCCAGACUCCUACGGGAGGCAGCAGUAGGGAAUCUUCCGCAAUGGGCGAAAGCCUGACGGAGCAACGCCGCGUGAGUGAAGAAGGUCUUCGGAUCGUAAAACUCUGUUAUUAGGGAAGAACAAAUGUGUAAGUAACUAUGCACGUCUUGACGGUACCUAAUCAGAAAGCCACGGCUAACUACGUG